CCUCUGACAUGAGGCACUGACGGCCUGUGUCUGCGUAUUUUUUUGUGGCUGGUGCGUGGCGGGUGGACCAGACGUGGGCCUGGCGACGACGGGGAACGGAGAGGAGCAGGUGAGGGAGCCGGAGAGCCCUAUUUCCGUCUCCCAGACUCCACGUGACCACAACGUCCGUCCCGGAUUCUCUGAACGUGAGUAAGGAGCAGCCGUCAACCAGACGCAGGGGAAGGAGCUGUCAAAACCAAGUUGGGGCUCUCGAACGUCGUAGCUGAGCUCAGGAGGUCACGUUACGAGCUCUCAGCUCAACUCAAGCCCCAUGUCCCUUUGGUCAUGGCUGGAAAGCCCCGUGGAAAACAACACAGAAAGGGAAUGAGGUGUCGGGCGUCCUUACAGGGACAGUUUCUGCAGGACCUCGUCUUCCUGGGAGGGCUCUUCUCAUCCUGCACCUGUUCCCGUGUGACGUCCACCAGCAGCGCUCUCCCUCACCCUCUGCCCCCCGCCCGGUCUCCCUUCUGAGCUCUAGGUGCAAACAGCCAGCUGCCCCCAGGGCGUCUCCGUGGGGGGCUCCAUGGCACCCUGCAUGCCCACGCCCCAAGUAACUUUUCACCUCCCUCUGCCUGCUAACCUCCAGCUUGCUCCCCUCCCCGAGUAUAUUCCAGGAGGGCUGGGACCGUCAUCCGCCCUCCCCUGAGCCCAGUAGCGCCCCCUGCUCUGUGAAAUGAGCCCCCCCCCCACCAUGACCCCAAGCAUCCCCACCAGGCUGAGCCAGGGGUCGGAGCUGCCGGUGAGGAGGGAGCGAGCAGUCAGUACCUGAGCAAUGGCUCGCUCGGGAGAAACACUUAACACUCAGCCAACAGAGCACGCUCUUUCUUAACACAGAGGAGAGAAAACAGAAGGAAGGAUGUUGGGGGGGAGGCGCGCAGCUCCACGGGGGAAGCUGAGUCAGGGUCAAGGAUGACGCUGGCCCUGACGGUGCUAAUUAAACCGUAAGCGUUUCAUGGUCUCCAGGACGCCGUGGGAAAAGGAGGAUAUGAAACAAGGAGUCCAAGCCGAGGAUUGUUGGGAAAUAGGUGGGCCGGCGAGUUCCUCCUGAGUUUAGAGGAAGGGGGCCCCGUGCGGACAGAGGGAGCCAGGGAAGGCCCCUCUUGAGCCUGGAGCUCCGGUGGGUUCCGCCCAGCUCACGGGGUGAGUGGGGCCGCAGGGCGAGAGCGCCUCUCAUCCGGGAAGGGCCCGCAGCCCUACGUGGCCUCUCGCCGGGCUCACGCUCUGCUGCGCUCACCUGGGUGGUCACGAACGCAACCGGGUUCUGCAUUCCGGGCGGGAACCCGACCGGUCAAGCGCCCUGUUUUCUCAGCCCGUCGCCUCAGCAGGUGCCUGAAGUCAGGGCGUCCCCGAUUCCGUCCCGUGGCCUAGUUCAGGCGGGCGGGCCAGGCUUCCCCGCCCUGACGUUGGUCUUCCUCCCCUUGUAACCCAGGAGCGCUGGCUCUUGGGGCGGUGCUCGCGGCCAGCGUGAACGUGCUAAGUCUGUCGAACCGUCAUCUGCACGUUCUGGCGUCCGCCGAGGACGAUCCGAAGCCAUCGUUACUCUGAUCGUUGCCGGAAGACGACAUUCUGGGUAAUUCAUUCCUUCGGUCCAAAGGGAGAGGCAUUUUCCAAAGUAACCGGCUUGUAUUCCUUAAACAUACUGAUCUCGUGACAACCUGCGGGGCUGUUCCGGAUGAAAGGGGCCCGAAGAGAACCAGCAACUAGAUGCAGUGUGUGAUCCUGGACCAGGAUUCCUUUGUCCUUUCCUCUAAAGGACAUUGCUGGGACAACUGGUGACAUUUGAAGAAGGCCUGGAUAUUCUGUGAAAUUAGAAGCCUUCUGAAUCAGUGCUCUAUUUUGAGCACAAAGUCAAGAUUUUUGUGGCCGCAGCCAAAGAUGUUCACGUGGAGAGCUGCUGAGCUGGCUUGUUGAUUCAGGCCCCGACGAUUCCUCAGGUCUUUCUGGAAAUAACAGGGUCAUUGACAUGUAGCGCGGUUAUAAAACCUGUGACGAGGCGCCCGUCUAGUGACAGCAGGGCCGAGCCAGCCGAUACCUCCGCGACCGAGUCCCCGUAACGUGAGUGCCUCGCGCCAUCCCGUGUAACCCCCAGGACAAAUCUGCAAGAUAAGCUGUGCCAUCCUGAGUUUUCACAUGAGAAAAUAGAAGCUCAGAGAAGACGAAUAUCCUUUCCCCAAAGAUCCAUGGUCGUAUGCUCCAUUAAGUCAUCUGGAUGAUUUCUGGGGAGGCACGGGACUCCAACGUCAUGCACCCCACUUCUGCUGGCCGACACUUGGGGACCGCCGGGUCCUGACCUCAGCACACUGGAUGGUGGAGUGGGUGACUGUGUGCGUUCGUUUCCUCCAGCGAACACAGCAUCCGGGAGCGAGAGCGUUCACUUUGUCAAAGGUUCAGAAAUAACAGAAGUAAAACCAGUGAAUCACCGUGGUAGCAAUUAGUAAAACUUUAUCGUGCACACACCAAAAAGGAAGUUUGCAAACCGGAAGCACUCAAACCGGAAGGUAGCGCGAGGCUCGGGGGUGGAUUCUUAAGAAGCAGCUCAUAUGGUGAGAAGGCAGUGGCUGUGUGUUUUUCCAGGGUUUGGUCCUAACGCUAGAAUUUUCUUAAGUCAUAGGGAAUUGGUGAGUGGUUACCUCAUACCAACCUUGGGAAACAGUUCAAGUUUCGCUUGUGACUUCCAGAGGCGCAAGCAAAGGACUGACCCAGGUCCAGUCAGUCUUGCAAAAUAAUCUAAAUCAAGCUUUGUUUGUAUGACCAAAGUGGUUUCAUCUGCUCAGGGCAUUUUCACGGCUGUGUUUUUUAUUCAACGGCCCCCUCCCUCAUGGAUCAGAGGUGGGCACGUGACGCCCUGAGACCCAGGGCGGCCUCUCCCAGAACCCCUGGGAAACGGCUCUUCAGGCUCCUCCAUGGAUCCCCAGAGCCUGGGCCGCCAUAUUGGUACGCUUGGCCAAGGACCUGGGAACGGAUCUCCAGGGGAGGCAGAACCCCAGGGAGUCCUUGUGCUGUGAGCAAUGGGACCUGCCUGUUCCCCUCCUCCUUUGCAGCAAUGGAGCCAUUCCUUUCCUGUCCUUGCUUACUCCAGUUUUGAUCAAGGUUUCCAUCACAUGUGGCAAAGAAUCCUAAGCGACGCACGUGGAAGGGAGAAGUCUUCUUAACCUGUGUUUGUACCAGGACCAGAGAUCCUUCUCCACAGUCCCCGUGGCCCAGUGUUGUCUAUGAGGCCAAAACGUGUCGCCACUGGGUGCCCCUCAGCAUGUGUGUACAAUAUUGGAAGUCCUCCUGGGCUGUGGGAGCACAUUGGCUCCUCAGAAGGGGAUGACAGAACUUACCGGAAUUUGUCCUUGAGAUGCCCAAGGGUCUGAGUCGGACAUGCCGAGGUUUUAUCCCCAAAGUUAAGAUUUCAUUCGCAAAUAAGUUUAUACAAAAGCACUAGGGGAUGGUACACUUUAAAUCCAAGCACAAAAUAUAUCCAGUUUAGUAAACUGGGACCCAUAUUUUGAAAAGAAGGAGAAAAUAUUCCACUGGAAACAAAGGAAUUCAAAUAUACAAAGGUGAUGUUUACCCACCAGUUGAUUUUGAAAGGUUAGAGACGUGGCCUUUUUUAAAUGGAAAUAUACUCUUACCACGCCAUUUAAAAAAUGCCUUAGCCUCUCUUCAGCCUUUUAUUAUGAAAUAUCCAACCUACAGAAAAGUUGCAAAAAUAAUCGGAUGAAUGUCUACGUAUCCUUCACCUAGAUUAGCCAAUUGUUAAUGUUUUUCCGUGCUUGUUCCAGAUCCAUCGGCAUGUGACACACACAUGCCUAUGUCCACAGGCAAAAAUUACACACACACACACACAUGCACUCUCACACAUACGCUCACAUAAGUACUUUUUCUGAUGGACAAUCUGAGAGUUAAUUGCAGACAUCAUGACACCUCACCACCGAAUACUUUAGCAUCUGUCUCCUAAAAAAAAAAUCAGUUAAUUGCCACACUCAGGAAAGUUAACCCUGAAAUAAUGCCAUUACCUAAA